AUAUCAAUAAGCGGAGGAAAAGAAACUAACAAGGAUUCCCCUAGUAACGGCGAGUGAAGAGGGAAAAGCUCAAAUUUUGAAUCUGGUGUCUUUGACUCCCGAGUUGUAAUCUAGAGAAGUGUUUUCCGCAUUGGACCGUGCAAAAGUUCCCUGGAACGGGGCGUCAUAGAGGGUGAGAAUCCCGUAUAUGGCACGGACUACCAUUGCUAUGUGAUACACUCUCAACGAGUCGAGUUGUUUGGGAAUGCAGCUCAAAAUGGGUGGUAAAUUCCAUCUAAAGCUAAAUAUUGGCGAGAGACCGAUAGCGAACAAGUACCGUGAGGGAAAGAUGAAAAGCACUUUGGAAAGAGAGUGAAACAGUACGUGAAAUUGUUGAAAGGGAAGCGUUUGAAGUCAGUCACGUCUGUCGGAAUUCAGCCUGGCUUCUGCCUGGUGUAUUUUCUGGCUGACGGGUCAGCAUCAAUUUUGACCAAGGGAAAAAGACUUGGGGAAUGUGGCUGUCUUCGGGCAGUGUUAUAGACCCUUGUUGUAUGUCUUGGUUGGGAUUGAGGAACGCAGCGCGCCUUUUGGCCGGGGUUCGCGCCCUCGGUACGCGCUUAGGAUGCUGGCAUAAUGGCUUUAAGCGA
rnacentral:rRNA from 1 species